rnacentral:tRNA from 1 species
GAGGGUAUAGCUCAAUGACAGAGCACAUGCUUAGCAUGCACGUGAUUGUGGGUUCAAUCCCCAGUACCUCUG